CUUUGAGCACUUGCAUUCCAUGAUCCAUCUAUGCGAUGAGACACAGAAUAAACUUAUCUUUGCAGCAGUAUACAGUCUCCCACCCUCUUUUGGUAUCUGCACGCCCGCGCACAAAUGAAGCUGAACCAAAAAAGCUGCAGCCAAAUCCAUGAAAUGAUGCACAAAUAAGUGAGCGAAUACAUAAGCAAUAACAUCAAUUGAAAGGAACUAAUGCUUAGUUCAACUGCAUAAAGUAUGGGCAUAGUCCAAAAGGUAAGUCUCGAGACAAAAGUAAAGUCAUUUAUAUUCUAAAUCACCUUAGAACCCAUGAACCAUCAUGUUUUUCUAAAGGAUUCACAAAUCCUACAAGUUUAGUUUCUUUUUCUUUCUCAAGUAUACUAAUGAAGAUUCAAAUUAUAGAAUAGCUCCUCAAACAUCUCCAGCUACUCUACCUGCAAAAUUAUAAAAGCAAUAUGAGUUCUCCACUAAGCAAGGAAAGCAGUACACACAUCAAGCACUUCAAUUUUCUUCUUUUUUUUAAAAAAAAACAUAUAGAGUCUGAGACAAAGCCUUCAUAAAAUCCUCACUUUAAAAACCUAAAUGUUGAAAUCAGAUUCUCUCAUCCUAGACUCUCGAACAAUGAAAAUUAGGUCACACAAUGUACUUGGGGGAGAGCAGAAAAGAGUAAAUGGAUAAUUCCAUUACUUGCCUCAAAAUAUGAGCAACAUAUCUUAAGAGCCGCAGAAUUCCAGGAUUACAUCUAUGGAAUUUCAUAUUGCCAUUUUCAUUUCUAUUUUCUGGUGAGGAUCAUAACCAACAAGUUUAAAGUCUGCAGCAACAAAGGAAUCUAUAUCCUUUUUCUAUGAAUUGAUCUUCAGCGCCUAGACCCAUUCAGGACCAACCAAAGUUAGAGAGGGGAAGAGAGAGAGAUUAAAUAUCCUUUACUUACUGGGAAAGGUCUCGGUAACUUCUGAAGCUGGUCUUGCAGAGGUCUGACAUGAGUGCGGUAAACAUGAGCAUCUCCAAUGACAUGGACGAAAUCACCAGGAACUAGGUCUGUAAAAUAAAAGAAAAGCAAAAAUCAUGAGCUGCAUCACAAAACAAAGGGGACUGACGUGGGGUGAACAUAGAAUGAGC
rnacentral:lncRNA from 1 species